UACGGGGGGGGCAAGCGUUGUUCGGAAUUACUGGGCGUAAAGCGCGUGUAGGCGGCACUACAAGUCGGAUGUGAAAUCCCGCGGCUUAACCGUGGAAGUGCACCCGAAACUGUAGAGCUAGAGUCCCGGAGAGGAUGGUGGAAUACUUGGUGUAGAGGUGAAAUUCGUAGAUAUCAAGUGGAACACCGGUGGCGAAGGCGGCCAUCUGGACGGUGACUGACGCUGAGACGCGAAAGCGUGGGUAGCAAACAGG
rnacentral:rRNA from 1 species